rnacentral:rRNA from 1 species
CCUACGGGAGGCAGCAGUGAGGAAUAUUGGUCAAUGGGCGCGAGCCUGAACCAGCCAAGUAGCGUGAAGGAUGACUGCCCUACGGGUUGUAAACUUCUUUUAUAAGGGAAUAAAGUGCCCCACGUGUGGGGUUUUGUAUGUACCUUAUGAAUAAGCAUCGGCUAACUCCGUGCCAGCAGCCGCGGUAAUACGGAGGAUGCGAGCGUUAUCCGGAUUUAUUGGGUUUAAAGGGAGCGUAGGUGGGUUGUUAAGUCAGGCGGGAAAUUUUGCGGCUCAACCGUAAAAGUGCAUUUGAAACUGGGAGCCUUGAGUACGCGCAGGGUAGGCGGAAUGCGUGGUGUAGCGGUGAAAUGCUUAGAUAUCACGAAGAACUCCGAUCGCGAAGGCAGCCUACCGGAGCGCGACUGACGCUGAGGCUCGAAAGUGUGGGUAUCAAACAGGAUUAGAUACCCGGGUAGUC